AGGGUUCGAUUCUGGCUCAGGAUGAACGCUAGCUACAGGCUUAACACAUGCAAGUCGAGGGGCAGCAUGUUGGUUGCUUGCAACCGAUGAUGGCGACCGGCGCACGGGUGAGUAACGCGUAUCCAACCUACCCUUGUCCAUCGGAUAACCCGUCGAAAGGCGGCCUAACACGAUAUGCGGUUCACAGCAGGCAUCUAACGUGAACGAAAUGUGAAGGAGAAGGAUGGGGAUGCGUCUGAUUAGCUUGUUGGCGGGGUAACGGCCCACCAAGGCAACGAUCAGUAGGGGUUCUGAGAGGAAGGUCCCCCACAUUGGAACUGAGACACGGUCCAA
rnacentral:rRNA from 1 species